ACAUGACUCUCGGUAAUGGAUAUCUUAGAUCCUGUAUCAAUCAAGAGUGUAACAAAAUACGAUACGUGGUGCGAAUUGCAGAAUCCCGUGAAUCAUCGAGUCUUUGAACACAAGUUACACCCGAGGCCAAUCGGUCGAGGGCAUGUCCGCCUUGGCGUCAAGA
rnacentral:rRNA from 1 species